rnacentral:rRNA from 1 species
UACGAAGGGGGGCUAGCGUUGCUCGGAAUCACUGGACGUAAAGCGCACGUAGGCGGCUUUUUAAGUCAGGGGUGAAAUCCUGGAGCUCAACUCCAGAACUGCCUUUGAUACUGAGAAGCUUGAGUCCGGGAGAGGUGAGUGGAACUGCGAGUGUAGAGGUGAAAUUCGUAGAUAUUCGCAAGAACACCAGUGGCGAAGGCGGCUCACUGGCCCGGUACUGACGCUGAGGCACGAAAGCGUGGGGAGCAAACAGG